GACGAACGCUGGCGGCGUGCUUAACACAUGCAAGUCGAACGGAAAGGCCCUGCUUUUGUGGGGUGCUCGAGUGGCGAACGGGUGAGUAACACGUGAGUAACCUGCCCUUGACUUUGUGAUAACUUCAGGAAACUGGGGCUAAUACCGCAUAGGAGCUCCUGCUGCAUGGUGGUGUUUGGAAAGUUUCGGCGUUUGGGGAUGGACUCGCUGGUUAUCAGCUUGUUGGUGGGGUAGUGGCUUACCAAGGGUUUGACGGGUAGCCGGCCUGAGAGGGUGAACGGGGACAAGGGGAAUGAGAGAGGGACCAGAAGGGAACGGGAGGCAGGAGUGGGGAAGAUGACAGAAUGGGCGGAAGCAUGAGGAAGAAACGCCGGGAGCGGGAGGACGGGCUUAGGGUGGUAAACAGAUGUGGAAUGAGACGAAGAGGGAGUGACGGUAAUGGGUAAAGAAGCAACGGCUAACUACGUG
rnacentral:rRNA from 1 species